rnacentral:rRNA from 1 species
AUUGAACGCUGGCGGCAUGCCUUACACAUGCAAGUCGAACGGCAGCGGGCCCUUCGGGGUGCCGGCGAGUGGCGAACGGGUGAGUAAUGCAUCGGAACGUACCCGGGAGAGGGGGAUAACCGGCCGAAAGGCUGGCUAAUACCGCAUGAACUCGGAAGAGCAAAGCGGGGGACCUUCGGGCCUCGCGCUCUCGGAGCGGCCGAUGUCCGAUUAGGCUGUUGGUGGGGUAAAGGCCCACCAAGGCGACGAUCGGUAGCGGGUCUGAGAGGACGAUCCGCCACACUGGGACUGAGACACGGCCCAGACUCCUACGGGAGGCAGCAGUGGGGAAUCUUGGACAAUGGGCGCAAGCCUGAUCCAGCAAUGCCGCGUGGGUGAAGAAGGCCUUCGGGUUGUAAAGCCCUUUCGGCGGGGAAGAAAUCGGUCAGGCGAAUAGUCUGGCCGGAUGACGGUACCCGCAGAAGAAGCACCGGCUAACUACGUG